UUGGCGUGCCUAAUACAUGCAAGUCGAGCGAGCGGAACUAACAGAUUUACUUCGGUAAUGACGUUAGGAAAGCGAGCGGCGGAUGGGUGAGUAACACGUGGGGAACCUGCCCCAUAGUCUGGGAUACCACUUGGAAACAGGUGCUAAUACCGGAUAAGAAAGCAGAUCGCAUGAUCAGCUUUUAAAAGGCGGCGUAAGCUGUCGCUAUGGGAUGGCCCCGCGGUGCAUUAGCUAGUUGGUAAGGUAAAGGCUUACCAAGGCGAUGAUGCAUAGCCGAGUUGAGAGACUGAUCGGCCACAUUGGGACUGAGACACGGCCCAAACUCCUACGGGAGGCAGCAGUAGGGAAUCUUCCACAAUGGACGCAAGUCUGAUGGAGCAACGCCGCGUGAGUGAAGAAGGUUUUCGGAUCGUAAAGCUCUGUUGUUAGUGAAGAAGGAUAGAGGUAGUAACUGGCCUUUAUUUGACGGUAAUCAACCAGAAAGUCACAGCUAACUACGUGCCAGCAGCCGCGGUAAUACGUAGGUGGCAAGCGUUGUCCGGAUUUAUUGGGCGUAAAGCGAGCGCAGGCGGAAGAAUAAGUCUGAUGUGAAAGCCCUCGGCUUAACCGAGGAACUGCAUCGGAAACUGUUUUUCUUGAGUGCAGAAGAGGAGAGUGGAACUCCAUGUGUAGCGGUGGAAUGCGUAGAUAUAUGGAAGAACACCAGUGGCGAAGGCGGCUCUCUGGUCUGCGACUGACGCUGAGGCUCGAAAGCAUGGGUAGCGAACAGGAUUAGAUACCCUGGUAGUCCAUGCCGUAAACGAUGAGUGCUAAGUGUUGGGAGGUUUCCGCCUCUCAGUGCUGCAGCUAACGCAUUAAGCACUCCGCCUGGGGAGUACGACCGCAAGGUUGAAACUCAAAGGAAUUGACGGGGGCCCGCACAAGCGGUGGAGCAUGUGGUUUAAUUCGAAGCAACGCGAAGAACCUUACCAGGUCUUGACAUCUAGUGUCAUUUGUAGAGAUACAAAGUUCCCUUCGGGGACGCUAAGACAGGUGGUGCAUGGCUGUCGUCAGCUCGUGUCGUGAGAUGUCGGGUUAAGUCCCGCAACGAGCGCAACCCUUGUUAUUAGUUGCCAGCAUUAAGUUGGGCACUCUAAUGAGACUGCCGGUGACAAACCGGAGGAAGGUGGGGAUGACGUCAAGUCAUCAUGCCCCUUAUGACCUGGGCUACACACGUGCUACAAUGGGCAGUACAACGAGAAGCGAGCCUGCGAAGGCAAGCGAAUCUCUGAAAGCUGUUCUCAGUUCGGACUGCAGUCUGCAACUCGACUGCACGAAGCUGGAAUCGCUAGUAAUCGCGGAUCAGCACGCCGCGGUGAAUACGUUCCCGGGCCUUGUACACACCGCCCGUCACACCAUGGGAGUCUGCAAUGCCCAAAGCCGGUGGCCUAACCUUCGGGAAGGAGCCGUCUAAGGCAGGGCAGAUGACUGGGGU
rnacentral:rRNA from 1 species